rnacentral:rRNA from 1 species
AUUGAACGCUGGCGGCAUGCUUUACACAUGCAAGUCGAACGGUAACAGGGUGCUUGCACCGCUGACGAGUGGCGAACGGGUGAGUAAUGCGUCGGAACGUGCCGAGUAGUGGGGGAUAACGCAGCGAAAGUUGUGCUAAUACCGCAUACGUACUGAGGUAGAAAGUGGGGGACCUUCGGGCCUCACGCUAUUCGAGCGGCCGACGGCUGAUUGGCUAGUAGGUGAGGUAAAGGCUCACCUAGGCGACGAUCGGUAGCGGGUCUGAGAGGAUGAUCCGCCACACUGGGACUGAGACACGGCCCAGACUCCUACGGGAGCCAGCAGUGGGGAAUUUUGGACAAUGGGCGAAAGCCUGAUCCAGCCAUGCCGCGUGUCUGAAGAAGGCCUUCGGGUUGUAAAGGACUUUUGUCAGGGAGGAAAUCCCUAGUGCUAAUAACACUGGGGGAUGACAGUAUCUGAAGAAUAAGCACCGGCUAACUACGUGCCAGCAGCCGCCGCAG